UACGGGGGGGGCAAGCGUUGUUCGGAAUUACUGGGCGUAAAGGGCGCGUAGGCGGCCCUCUAAGUCAGACGUGAAAUCCCACGGCUUAACCGUGGAACUGCGUCUGAUACUGGAGGGCUUGAUUCCGGGAGAGGGAUGUGGAAUUCCAGGUGUAGCGGUGAAAUGCGUAGAUAUCUGGAGGAACACCGGUGGCGAAGGCGGCAUCCUGGACCGGUAUUGACGCUGAGGCGCGAAAGCUAGGGGAGCAAAAGGG
rnacentral:rRNA from 1 species